GCUGUCUGCACUUGGGCCGUCUUCUCCCAGACGCCUUUCUUUUUCGACGUCCUUCUGAGUACUCUGCCGUAAACUCCCCGAAGUCCAAUAAAGUGGUAGAAACAGCAGUUGCGGCGCUUUACUAAUAACAUAGAAAGGGCUUUUACCUACCUUACUAAUAAAGCUUCUUUUUUACAUAAGGUUAAACGAAAGCGGUUGUUAAUGCUUGUAACUUGCGUGUCUGAGAUCCGUCUUCUGUUUGCGAUUGAAACACCCUCUUAAUUACUUAUUUUUUUAUCUAGGCAGAAUUCUCUGAUAAAAAAGAAGGCAGCUUUUAAGAUAGAGUCUUUUACGGUUACAGAUAUCAACACUUCUGGGGGAAAGGAAUAGCUUUCAAAAGAUGGAUCAAUUGCAGCAGGGACUGGACUGGCUUCACUCGCACUCGACUAAUAAGCAAGGAGGAGACAUUUGCGGAUGCAUGCCCAACCCGAGCUACUAGGCCAGGGCCAUUAGAUCCGCUCUUCGCCUUUACAGCUCUUCCUGAAGGAGGAGCCGUGCCAUCUCUAUCAGCUAGUCAGCUAGCCGCGAAAGGCAAUGAAAUUGUAGAUGCCCAGAGAGGCAUUUUCCUAUUGAAUGGCACAUGGUUCUGCAUUAACAUAACAAGCAAAAAAAAGAAAAAAAGAAAUAUUGUAUCACUUCUUUUCUAUACUGAUUGAAAUUGCGUUACUAUGUCAAAAGAAGGAUAGCUAUACUGAUUCGGUACACUCUAAAGACACCCUCGGUACCACUAUUGAAGAUCUCACAAAGAUUAAAUCUCAGUGAAUUUCCAUUUACUGAUCCUAUCUUUCACAGAAUCAAUCCCCCCUUUUACUGUAUAGUUGCUCAGGCGGCAAAGAGGCAAUUAUACUAAAUAGGAAAUCUGGAACUUUGUUUACUGCACUUUAUCUUAAGAUGGUCUCGCUCCAUCCACAUUUAAUCUCUUAGCGGUUAGCCUAGCUACCCUAGCAGCCAGAGUCUUCCUUUCCCAUGCCCCACUCCUUAGAGCCCAAAAGCAUCGUAGAAUGAUUGUCUAGGGUGCCCACAUAUAUAGAGUCAAAAGAGAUAUGGAGUCCAAAGGGGAGGGGGUUUUUCUUCGGGGCUCGAGAGAUGGAAUAGAUAGGGCCCCACAAGUUUUUAAUUCACCGUUGGGGAAUUCACACGAAAGGGAACGAGGAAUUAUCAACGAAAAAAGUGCUCUCUGAACCGAACGUGAAAGUUGUUUUCCAUCAGACGGCUGUUCCGUAACUCCACUCUCGACUUGCUAACCCUUAAUCUAAAUCUAAGGCUAUAGGUAAGGGACUGCCGGGUGCUGGGUGCUAUGAAGAGACUGCUCUUGCUUUUUGGGCUUGUGAAUGAGAAUGCUUGGUCGAAAGUCGCGAAAAGGAAGGCAACUGCACCCGUACGUGUCUUCCCGUUCCUUCUUACUUUUGUCCUACUCGAGCUUCUCGCAAUCGUCAUAAUAGGAAUAGGAGCGGGUGUCAAAGGAGCAGGCAAUUGCAGAGCCUUCUCUCUUCUCUUGUUAGAAAUAAGAAUCGGCAUAAGGAAAGCUUUAGCAUUUUUAUAAUGGUAGGGGCUGCUGGUACUCGUAAGUCAGUUGGCGAGCCC
rnacentral:lncRNA from 1 species